UAUUCAAAAAACUUGAAAUACUAUGUAAUUCAUUUCUCAUAAUUAAUGCUAUUAUUACAACAAAAUACUCAACAGAAGUGAAAUACGAAAACAGCCAUGCAACCGCCUUACUUACAUUCAUAAUUAAGAUGCUACUCUUCCAACCACUUCAUCUUCUAUGCCUUUGUCUUAAUUUACGCAAAGUUACUUUAGUUACAGUACAAAGCUUGUCACAUACAAUAUCAAUCA
rnacentral:lncRNA from 1 species